GAUGAACGCUGGCGGCGUGCCUAAUACAUGCAAGUCGAGCGAACAGACGAGGAGCUUGCUCCUCUGACGUUAGCGGCGGACGGGUGAGUAACGCGUGGAUAACCUACCUAUAAGACUGGGAUAACUUCGGGAAACCGGAGCUAAUACCGGAUAAUAUAUUGAACCGCAUGGUUCAAUAGUGAAAGACGGUUUUGCUGUCACUUAUAGAUGGAUCCGCGCCGCAUUAGCUAGUUGGUAAGGUAACGGCUUACCAAGGCAACGAUGCGUAGCCGACCUGAGAGGGUGAUCGGCCACCCUGGAACUGAGACACGGUCCAGACUCCUACGGGAGGCAGCAGUAGGGAAUCUUCCGCAAUGGGCGAAAGCCUGACGGAGCAACGCCGCGUGAGUGAUGAAGGUCUUCGGAUCGUAAAACUCUGUUAUUAGGGAAGAACAAAUGUGUAAGUAACUAUGCACGUCUUGACGGUACCUAAUCAGAAAGCCACGGCUAACUACGUG
rnacentral:rRNA from 1 species